UAUGGCACAAUUAUCUAUGGCGUCUUCAAUAGAGCCUUACCGAAAGGGUACUUCUUUUGGAGAUUGGAUUGACAGGCUUGAGUUUUGUUUCUUAGCGAACAAUAUAGAUGUAAAUUUAAAAAAAGCUCAUUUUAUAACCCUAGCGGGUCCACUCGUUUACGCAGAACUGAAGCUGCAAUAUCCGGUUGGAAAUUUAAAUGACGUAUCGUAUGAUGAUAUGGUUAAGAAACUUAAGAGUAGAUUUGACAAGAAACCAUCUAGUUUGGUUCAACGAUUAAAAUUUUCUAAUCGAGUCCAGCAACCGGACGAAUCACUCGAAGAUUAUGUUCUGUCUGUUAAGUUACAGGCUGAAUUUUGCUCUUUUGGUACAUUUAAGGAUCAAGCGAUCCGAGAUCGUAUUAUUUCGGGAAUAAGGGAUACCAGUCUUCAAGAGAAAAUUCUCAAUGAAGACGAAGAAUUAAGUGCUGAGGCCACGGAGAAAAUUAUUAUGACGUGGGAAAUGGCCAAGUGUAACGCCAAAUCCUUAGGGAUUGAAAAAAAAAACUGAGAGUUUUGAUCUAAUUAACACAGUGAAACCUCAUUAUGGGGCAGCAUUCAGGAAACUAGCAGAUACUUUGGAUGCAGCUAGGGCCAAUCAAGCAGGUCCAUCCAAGGGUUCUGUUAGGAGUAGACUUGGUUUCAAGCCUUAUAGUCGAUACAAUCAUAAUUACAUUGGAAAUAAAUAUGAAUCAAAGCCAGCCGAAUGGCAAGGCCAACAGGAUAAAUUUAGAAAAGAUUACUCUCAAUUUAUUUGUGAUUUUUGCGGUAAGAAGGGCCAAUAUAAGAAAGAAGUGCUUUAGACUAAAGAAUUUACACCGAGAUACAGUAAAGUUCGUGGACUCGGACAAGCCUGGAACAAGCACGGAUCGGAACUUAAGCGAGAUGUUUAACAGGAUGAAAGCAGAUGACGUCGAAAGCGAUGAUGAUAAAGGUUACGAUUGGAAGCGUGCCAACUAUGGCACACCGCGCUCAGCUGAGGGCUAUUGAAGUAUUACAUAGAAGGCCAAAUGUAUUAUCUAAAUACAUGCUACCCAACGGGGAGGACCGUGUUGGACUAAAUAAGAGCAACGAUGAAGAAGAAGAUUUCAAAGGUUUUGCAGAGCAUGAGUUAAAAAGGAAAAGCAGAAAGAGAAAAUUUCCUUCGAUAUUGGAUCCGAUGGAAUUGUCGGAAAUGGAACCUAGACGCUCAAGAAGAAAACGAUCCGCAAAGGUGGACAUGGAUUUCAUAUACAAAUAAUUUGAUUAUCUUCGGUUCUGAUAUAAGAAUAUCGAAUAUGUUUUAUUUAAGUUUAGUCAGGAUAACCUGAUUAUCGAAUUUGAAUUGUAUCAGAAGUAAAUAAUAUAGGAUUUGAUAGGAAAUCAAGUUUGAUGAUAAGGGGAAGAGCUGUAAUAUACGCCCUUUUGCGUAUAUACGAUCGAAAAAGGUUAGAAAGUUAGAAAACUAGGAACACUGUUUAUCUGAAGUAUAAUUAAACAGACGGCUGGACCGCCACUUGUUUUUGAAUCCUCAAUCUGGUUAGUUGUUUCUUCCUGUGCUCCGAAAGUUCCAUAGAAUCAACGGUUCGUUUUCUUCAUUUGAGUUGAGUCCUUGAACUUAUCUCUUUUAUACCUGGAAGUGAGUAUUAUUAAGGAAAUACUAAACCGGCGAGCGGCCCUUCAAAUGUGAAAUCUGCGGUAAAGAUUUCCGCUAUCGCUAUCAAGUUAAGCCACAUAUGUCCGUCCAUACGGGAGAAUUCCGGUUCAGUUGCGAUGUGUGCAAAAAAGGCUAUAAUAUCAAAUUACUAUUUGACAGACACAUGCUCAGACAUAAUCGACUAGCGGAAAUGAUGCAGAAUAACGCAGAGAACAACAGAGACUUGAAGAGUUCUGCGACAACUUCCCUCUCGAGCGCUGUUCCAAAAAAGCCAUUCGAGUGUGAGAUCUGUGGCAAACGAUUUACACGUCAACA